CUACGGGAUGCUGCAGUGGGGAAUAUUGGACAAUGGGGGAAACCCUGAUCCAGCAAUGCCGCGUGUGUGAAGAAGGCCUGCGGGUUGUAAAGCACUUUCGGUUGGGAGGACUGCUUCUAGCACUAAUAUUGUUGGAAGUUGACGUUACCUUCAGAAAAAGCACCGGCUAACUCCGUGCCAGCAGCUGCGGUAAUACGGAGGGUGCAAGCGUUAAUCGGAAUUACUGGGCGUAAAGCGCGCGUAGGCGGCUAGAUCAGUCGGGUGUGAAAGCCCCGGGCUUAACCUGGGAACUGCAUCCGAUACUGUCUAGCUUGAGUACAGGAGAGGAGAGUGGAAUUCCACAUGUAGCGGUGAAAUGCGUAGAUAUGUGGAGGAACACCAAUGGCGAAGGCAGCUCUCUGGCCUGAUACUGACGCUGAGGUGCGAAAGCGUGGGGAGCAAACAGGAUUAAAUACCCUUGUAGUC
rnacentral:rRNA from 1 species